rfam:Oryza rufipogon genomic scaffold, chr02
AAAAAAGCAAACUGUGGGUUCCCGUGCCAACGUUUGACUGUCAAUCUUAUAUGAAAUUUUUUUAUAAUUAUUAUUUUCGUUGUUGUUAGAUGAUAAAACAUGAUUAAUACUUUAUACGUGACUUAUCUUUUUAAUUUUUUAAUAAUUUUUUUAAAUAAGACGGACAGUCAAACGUUGGACACGGAAUUCAGGGUUUGCCUUUUU